CUGCACUGUUUACUGUGUGGGUUGCCAUUUGGAUUGGCAUUCUGCUCUCCAUUCAGUGCAAAAGAAAAGCUCAGUUAGCAGAAGGGCCAAAUCAAACUGCUGGUUUUUCCCUUUCGAAGGCUGAGCACAUUA